rnacentral:rRNA from 1 species
AUUGAACGCUGGCGGCAUGCCUUACACAUGCAAGUCGAACGGCAGCACGGGAGCAAUCCUGGUGGCGAGUGGCGAACGGGUGAGUAAAGUAUCGGAACGUGCCCAGUCGUGGGGGAUAACGCAGCGAAAGUUGUGCUAAUACCGCAUACGAUCUAUGGAUGAAAGCGGGGGAUCGCAAGACCUCGCGCGAUUGGAGCGGCCGAUAUCAGAUUAGGUAGUUGGUGGGGUAAAGGCUCACCAAGCCGACGAUCUGUAGCUGGUCUGAGAGGACGACCAGCCACACUGGAACUGAGACACGGUCCAGACUCCUACGGGAGGCAGCAGUGGGGAAUUUUGGACAAUGGGCGCAAGCCUGAUCCAGCAAUGCCGCGUGCAGGAUGAAGGCCUACGGGUUGUAAACUGCUUUUGUACGGAACGAAAAGGCUCUGGUUAAUACCUGGGGCACAUGACGGUACCGUAAGAAUAAGCACCGGCUAACUACGUGCCAGCCGCCGCAGUAAGAC